AUUGAACGCUGGCGGCAGUCCUAACACAUGCAAGUCUAACUAAUGGCGGACGGGUGAUUAAUGUCUGGGAAACUGCCUGAUGUAGGGGGAUAACUACUGGAAAAGGUAGCUAAUACCGCAUACCAUCAUAUUUUCCCAGCUGGUAUUAGCUUGUUGGUAGGGUAACGGCUCAACAAGGCGACGAUACCUAGCUGGUCUUAGAGGUUGACCAGCCACACUGGACCUGAGACACGGUCCAGACUCCUACGGGAGGAAGCAUUGGGGAAUAUUGCACAAUGGGCGCAAGCCUGAUGCAGCCAUGCCGCGUGUAUGAAGAAGGCCUUCGGGUUGUAAAGUACUUUCAGCGGGGAGGCGUUACCCGCAGAAGAAGCACCGGCUAACUCCGUGCCAGCAGCCGAGGUAAUAC
rnacentral:rRNA from 1 species